rnacentral:rRNA from 1 species
UACGGGGGGGCAAGCGUUGUUCGGAAUUACUGGGCGUAAAGGGCUCGUAGGUGGCCAACUAAGUCAGACGUGAAACCCCUCGGCUUAACCGGGGAACUGCGUCUGAUACUGGAUGGCUUGAGUUCGGGAGAGGGAUGCGGAAUUCCAGGUGUAGCGGUGAAAUGCGUAGAUAUCUGGAGGAACACCGGUGGCGAAGGCGGCAUCCUGGACCGACACUGACGCUGAGGAGCGAAAGCCAGGGGAGCAAACGGG